AGCGUUAGACGAGGGAAUGAAGUUAGCCAGCGUCAAGGUACGAACGAUAGAGAGUCCUUGAUAGCGUUAAAAAGUGUGCUAACACAGUAUAGUCUGAAUGUUGAGUGUUGAAUAUCUGAUUAGUGGCGGACGGGUGAGUAACGCGUGGGGAACCUGCCCUAUACAGGGGGAUAGCCUCGGGAAACCGGGAUUAAUACCCCAUAAAACUCUAGUAUCGCAUGAUACGUGAGUCAAAGCUGAGGCGGUAUAGGAUGGCCCCGCGUCUGAUUAGCUAGUUGGUGAGGUAACGGCUCACCAAGGCGACGAUCAGUAGCCGGCCUGAGAGGGUGGACGGCCACACUGGAACUGAGACACGGUCCAGACUCCUACGGGAGGCAGCAGUGGGGAAUAUUGCACAAUGGGGGAAACCCUGAUGCAGCGACGCCGCGUGAGCGAAGAAGGCCUUCGGGUCGUAAAGCUCUGUCCUAAGGGAAGAAGAGGACGGUACCUUAGGAGGAAGCCCCGGCUAACUACGUG
rnacentral:rRNA from 1 species